rnacentral:rRNA from 1 species
UAGGGAAUCUUCGGCAAUGGACGAAAGUCUGACCGAGCAACGCCGCGUGAGUGAAGAAGGUUUUCGGAUCGUAAAACUCUGUUGUUAGAGAAGAACAAGGACGUUAGUAACUGAACGUCCCCUGACGGUAUCUAACCAGAAAGCCACGGCUAACUACGUGCCAGCAGCCGCGGUAAUACGUAGGUGGCAAGCGUUGUCCGGAUUUAUUGGGCGUAAAGCGAGCGCAGGCGGUUUCUUAAGUCUGAUGUGAAAGCCCCCGGCUCAACCGGGGAGGGUCAUUGGAAACUGGGAGACUUGAGUGCAGAAGAGGAGAGUGGAAUUCCAUGGGUAGCGGUGAAAUGCGUAGAUAUAUGGAGGAACACCAGUGGCGAAGGCGGCUCUCUGGUCUGUAACUGACGCUGGGGCUCGAAAGCGUGGGGAGCAAACAGG